UUUCACGACACGGCAGUCAGCCCGUCAGAGUGUCGUUUGAAAAUAGUUUUCCAGCAGUUUACAGCCCGGUGCCCGUUGGGCUAUUGAGGAGACAAUAUGUGGAGAUAUUGGUCUCCCAACUAGCGAAAACAAAUGGAAGGGUGUGAUGGGGGAAGUUACGACACCUGCAUAAACGGCAUGACCCUACCUCUUGAGGAGGCACGUCAAAGGAAACAGUUCUCAAGUCGACCUUCCUGUAGGAGUCGGUGCAAGGAAGACUGAAGAAUAUACCUGUGGGAACACCAUGCAACGAUGAACCGCUGUGCCUGUGAGGGAAAGUACGGUGGGUGCGAUUGAAUGGUGGAAAAGUGUUAUUCACCGACCCUUGUGCAGUUUAAGUGCGCAUUCUACAAAACGAUGUACCGUUAAGCAAACCAGAAUUUGAAAUCAAAACUCCUGAAGGUCAAAUAGAGAGUGUUACUGAUGAUGACAGCCACGUCGUUCACCUUUCAAAGCCAUCUCAUAAAAUAUUAAAGGUAUUUCAAAAAUCGUUCAUGGACCACUGAGAUCUACCAAUCGUCUUCCAAUAAUUUCUAAGGUCUUCCAGUGAUUCAGAGGUAUGAGAAACAUUCCAAUGAUCCCCAAAGCAUUUUUAAGGUCAUGACAUGCAAUUUUAUCAAUGAUCUAAAGUGAAUUCUGAAUUUUGUUCGUAAUCUUAAAAGUAUUUCAACAUUUUUGUUAAGUAAUAUGUUUCCGUGCUAUUCGGGAAUUUUAAAGAUUUUUGAGUAUUUUUAGAAUGAUUUUUAUAGUUUUCUUUUUCAAUGUUUUACUAGGUAUUCAAAAUUCAUUCAAUGAGCUU